rnacentral:miRNA from 1 species
CACAUCGAUGUUUUUCCACCUC